rnacentral:lncRNA from 1 species
GCUAAAAUAGAGUAGCUUAAAAUCUAAGCAAAAGCAGCAAAAGUGACUCUGGAGGGUGGCACGGGCCGUGCCAAUGCUAGCACGGGCCGUGCCAAUGCUAGCACGGGCCGUGCCAAGCUUCUGACUUUGGGGAGACAUAUUUUUGUCUCUGAAUCUUCGUAUUUUCGUACUAAAUCAGCUCCAAGUCCCUUUCUUUUGCUCGAAGACUCAAU